rnacentral:rRNA from 1 species
AUUGAACGCUGGCGGCAGGCCUAACACAUGCAAGUCGAGCGGAUGAAGGGAGCUUGCUCCUGGAUUCAGCGGCGGACGGGUGAGUAAUGCCUAGGAAUCUGCCUGGUAGUGGGGGAUAACGUCCGGAAACGGGCGCUAAUACCGCAUACGUCCUGAGGGAGAAAGUGGGGGAUCUUCGGACCUCACGCUAUCAGAUGAGCCUAGGUCGGAUUAGCUAGUUGGUGGGGUAAAGGCCUACCAAGGCGACGAUCCGUAACUGGUCUGAGAGGAUGAUCAGUCACACUGGAACUGAGACACGGUCCAGACCCCUACGGGAGGCAGCAGUGGGGAAUAUUGGACAAUGGGCGAAAGCCUGAUCCAGCCAUACCGCGUGUGUGAAGAAGGUCUUCGGAUUGUAAAGCACUUUAAGUUGGGAGGAAGGGCAGUAAGUUAAUACCUUGCUGUUUUGACGUUACCAACAGAAUAAGCACCGGCUAACUUCGUG